GAUGAACGCUGGCGGCGUGCCUAAUACAUGCAAGUCGAGCGAACAGACGAGGAGCUUGCUCCUUUGACGUUAGCGGCGGACGGGUGAGUAACACGUGGGUAACCUACCUAUAAGACUGGGAUAACUUCGGGAAACCGGAGCUAAUACCGGAUAAUAUUUCGAACCGCAUGGUUCGAUAGUGAAAGAUGGCUUUGCUAUCACUUAUAGAUGGACCUGCGCCGUAUUAGCUAGUUGGUAAGGUAACGGCUUACCAAGGCAACGGUACGUAGCCGACCUGAGAGGGUGAUCGGCCACACUGGAACUGAGACACGGUCCAGACUCCUACGGGAGGCAGCAGUAGGGAAUCUUCCGCAAUGGGCGAAAGCCUGACGGAGCAACGCCGCGUGAGUGAUGAAGGUCUUCGGAUCGUAAAACUCUGUUAUUAGGGAAGAACAAACGUGUAAGUAACUGUGCACGUCUUGACGGUACCUAAUCAGAAAGCCACGGCUAACUACGUGCCAGCAGCCGCGGUAAUACGUAGGUGGCAAGCGUUAUCCGGAAUUAUUGGGCGUAAAGCGCGCGUAGGCGGUUUUUUAAGUCUGAUGUGAAAGCCCACGGCUCAACCGUGGAGGGUCAUUGGAAACUGGAAAACUUGAGUGCAGAAGAGGAAAGUGGAAUUCCAUGUGUAGCGGUGAAAUGCGCAGAGAUAUGGAGGAACACCAGUGGCGAAGGCGACUUUCUGGUCUGUAACUGACGCUGAUGUGCGAAAGCGUGGGGAUCAAACAGGAUUAGAUACCCUGGUAGUCCACGCCGUAAACGAUGAGUGCUAAGUGUUAGGGGGUUUCCGCCCCUUAGUGCUGCAGCUAACGCAUUAAGCACUCCGCCUGGGGAGUACGACCGCAAGGUUGAAACUCAAAGGAAUUGACGGGGACCCGCACAAGCGGUGGAGCAUGUGGUUUAAUUCGAAGCAACGCGAAGAACCUUACCAAAUCUUGACAUCCUUUGACCCUUCUAGAGAUAGAAGUUUCCCCUUCGGGGGACAAAGUGACAGGUGGUGCAUGGUUGUCGUCAGCUCGUGUCGUGAGAUGUUGGGUUAAGUCCCGCAACGAGCGCAACCCUUAAGCUUAGUUGCCAUCAUUAAGUUAGGCACUCUAAGUUGACUGCCGGUGACAAACCGGAGGAAGGUGGGGAUGACGUCAAAUCAUCAUGCCCCUUAUGAUUUGGGCUACACACGUGCUACAAUGGACAAUACAAAGGGCAGCGAAACCGCGAGGUCAAGCAAAUCCCAUAAAGUUGUUCUCAGUUCGGAUUGUAGUCUGCAACUCGACUACAUGAAGCUGGAAUCGCUAGUAAUCGUAGAUCAGCAUGCUACGGUGAAUACGUUCCCGGGUCUUGUACACACCGCCCGUCACACCACGAGAGUUUGUAACACCCGAAGCCGGUGGAGUAACCAUAUGGAGCUAGCCGUCGAAGGUGGGACAAAUGAUUGGGGUGAAGUCGUAACAAGGUAGCCGUAUCGGAAGG
rnacentral:rRNA from 1 species